UGGAUCCAGACUUUGAUUAUGGCUCAGGAUGAACGCUAGCUACAGGCUUAACACAUGCAAGUCGAGGGGAAACGACAUCGAAAGCUUGCUUUGAUGGGCGUCGACCGGCGCACGGGUGAGUAACGCGUAUCCAACCUGCCCACCACUUGGGGAUAACCUUGCGAAAGUAAGACUAAUACCCAAUGAUAUCUCUAGAAGGCAUCAGAAAGAGAUUAAAGAUUUAUCGGUGAUGGAUGGGGAUGCGUCUGAUUAGCUUGUUGGCGGGGUAACGGCCCACCAAGGCUACGAUCAGUAGGGGUUCUGAGAGGAGCAAACAGGAUUAGAUACCCUGGUAGUCCACGCCGUAAACGAUGAUUACUAGGUGUUGGUGGGUACGACCCAUCGGUGCCGCAGCAAACGCAAUAAGUAAUCCACCUGGGGAGUACGUUCGCAAGAAUGCAACUCAAAUGAAUUGACGGA
rnacentral:rRNA from 1 species